GAUGAACGCUCGCUACAGGCUUAACACAUGCAAGUCGAGGGGCAGCAUGGUCUUAGCUUGCUAAGGCCGAUGGCGACCGGCGCACGGGUGAGUAACACGUAUCCAACCUGCCGUCUACUCUUGGACAGCCUUCUGAAAGGAAGAUUAAUACAAGAUGGCAUCAUGAGUCCGCAUGUUCACAUGAUUAAAGGUAUUCCGGUAGACGAUGGGGAUGCGUUCCAUUAGAUAGUAGGCGGGGUAACGGCCCACCUAGUCUUCGAUGGAUAGGGGUUCUGAGAGGAAGGUCCCCCACAUUGGAACUGAGACACGGUCCAAACUCCUACGGGAGGCAGCAGUGAGGAAUAUUGGUCAAUGGGCGCAGGCCUGAACCAGCCAAGUAGCGUGAAGGAUGACUGCCCUAUGGGUUGUAAACUUCUUUUAGAAAGGAAUAAAGUCGGGUAUGGAUACCCGUUUGCAUGUACUUUAUGAAUAAGGAUCGGCUAACUCCGUG
rnacentral:rRNA from 1 species